rnacentral:rRNA from 1 species
GACGAACGCUGGCGGCGUGCUUAACACAUGCAAGUCGAACGAAGUGGCGAACGGGUGAGUAAUGCCUAGGAAUCUGCCUGGUAGUGGGGGAUAACGUCCGGAAACGGGCGCUAAUACCGCAUACUAUCAGAUGAGCCUAGGUCGGAUUAGCUAGUUGGGGGGGUAAAGGCCUACCAAGGCGACGAUCCGUAACUGGUCUGAGAGGAUGAUCAGUCACACGGGAACUGAGACACGGCCCAGACUCCGACGGGAGGCAGCAGUAGGGAAUCUUCGGCAAUGGACGAAAGUCUGACGGAGCAACGCCGCGUGAGUGAUGACGGCCUUCGGGUUGUAAAGCUCUGUUAAUCGGGACGCGGUACCGGAAUAGAAAGCCACGGCUAACUACGUGCCAGCAGCCGCGGUAAUAC